AAGGUUCUUUUUGUGAGAUGUUUUCAUGGUGUGGGAAUAAGACUUGGUGGUCUAAUACAGCUAAUAUGAAGAUUAGCACUAUAGCUUGUCUGUAAGGAUUGAGGCUGGGAAGGGCCAUUGGAGCUGACUUUUAUGGUAACUUUAAUUGAGGAAGCAUUAAAUUAUUGUGCGAUUUAACUGAAACUAUAAAGAAUGUAAUUCAGACAAUAAUUGUUUGUGUGAAAAAAUGUUAAUGAUUUGAGAAGAAAAAAGAUGUGUAAAGAUUCUCCUUUUUCAACAAGAUUGGGAGUUGUAGGAUAUUAUUAUCCCCCCUUCACAGCCCCCUUGUGACUAGGUUUGAUGGGGAAGUUUAAAAUGAUGGGAAAUGGACAAAUUUUACAAUUUAACAUGUAGUAUAGAUCUUCAUUUUACGCAAGAUAUCUUAAUAUGGUCCAUA